AGCAGCCGCGGUAAUUCCAGCUCCAAUAGCGUAUAUUAAAGUUGUUGCAGUUAAAAAGCUCGUAGUUGAAUUUCGGGAUCAGUACGCUGGUCGUGCCUUUGGUAUGUACUGGUGUCACUGAUUCCUCCCUUCUGAAGAACCGUUAUGCCAUUUAUUUUGGUGUGGCGGGAAAUCAGGACUGUUACUUUGAAAAAAUUAGAGUGUUUAAAGCAGGCUCGCGCUUGAAUACAUUAGCAUGGAAUAAUGAAAUAGGACGUUUGAUCUUAUUUUGUUGGUUUCUAGGAUCGACGUAAUGAUUAAUAGGGAUAGUUGGGGGGCAUUAGUAUUCAAUUGUCAGAGGUGAAAUUCUUGGAUUUAUUGAAGACUAACUACUGCGAAAGCAUUUGCCAAGGAUGUUUUCAUUAAUCAAGAACGAAAGUUAGGGGAUCGAAGACGAUCAGAUACCGUCGU
rnacentral:rRNA from 1 species